rnacentral:sRNA from 1 species
GUAAGUCGUAAGUACCUAGCGGUGUAUGC